UACGAAGGGAGCUAGCGUUGUCCGGAAUUAUUGGGCGUAAAGAGCUCGUAGGCGGUGUGUCACGUCGGCCGUGAAAACCUGCAGCUUAACUGUGGGCGUGCGGUCGAUACGGGCAUCACUGGAGUUCGGCAGGGGAGACUGGAAUUCCUGGUGUAGCGGUGAAAUGCGCAGAUAUCAGGAGGAACACCGGUGGCGAAGGCGGGUCUCUGGGCCGAUACUGACGCUGAGGAGCGAAAGCGUGGGGAGCGAACAGG
rnacentral:rRNA from 1 species